UACGUAGGGUGCAAGCGUUAAUCGGAAUUACUGGGCGUAAAGCGUGCGCAGGCGGUCCGUUAAGACAGAUGUGAAAUCCCCGGGCUUAACCUGGGAACUGCAUUUGAGACUGCGUAGCUAGGGUGCGGAAGAGGGAAGCGGAAUUUCCGGUGUAGCGGUGAAAUGCGUAGAUAUCGGAAGGAACACCAGUGGCGAAAGCGGCUUCCUGGUCCAGCACCGACGUUCAGGCACGAAAGCGUGGGGAGCAAACAGG
rnacentral:rRNA from 1 species